rnacentral:lncRNA from 1 species
GCCAGUUUUAGUUGUUUAAUCAUUUACAAAGAAUAAAGUUCAACGGGCGGAAAAGGGAAGGGAGGGCAUUACAGAGGGCAGGAAUUGAGUUGAGGCGUUAAAGUUGCAUGGCAUGCCCAAGAAAUAGGGAGGCGUUGGGGUGGCUCUGUGCCAGGCUGAGUGGAUGGGAGUGGGCGAGGGUGGAGCUGUAGUGAAGGUAAGGCUGGAAGAUAAAUCAGAGCAAAACUGCACAGGGGCUCUGAAUGCUCAGGAAAGGAAAAAUGAGUUUUCCAUGGAAAUCAGAUUUUUAUAAAUUGAGUCAUUUUAAAGUUUACCAGGACUGGGGUUUUUUUGGUUUUUUGUUUGUUUGUUUGUUUUGUUUUUUAGGUGUAACAGUGGGAAGUAUGCUGGCUUGGAAUCAGACCACGCUUUGAAUUUGAGCUGUGUCAUUCAUCAGAUGAAUGACUUCACAGAAGUCAACUUAACCCUUCUCAUACUCAGUUUUUUCAUCUGUGAAAAUGGCAUUUGUUCAGAUAAAGUUAGAAGAGACAAGUGAAGGCGUCAAGGACAUUGCCCACCUUUGUGCCAGAAGAUGUAUGAUGAUGGGUCAAAAGCAGUCAAGAUGUAUGAUGGUGGGUCAAAAGCAAUCAUGGUCAUCUCGGUUCCCUUCGCCACUCAUCAAUCUGAAGAUGGGCAAGUGCCCCACAGUGUCUAAAGAGAUGUGAGAAUGGAUUGGCUGAGAAAGACUCACAGGGAGAAGAGCUUGUGCCCCUUGCCCAUUCUUCCUGAAUGUGUACCUAUCGCUGAAGUUACAGUAGUCAUCUUGUGAGCAAGAGAAGACGAACACGAGGAGGACCAACAUGGCAGAUGUUAAGACAGAAAUACAGAAAGAACCUGGAUCUCCUAAGGCGUCACUGAGCGAGCCCUUUGAGUUGCCUACCUUGACUUGUUCUUACGUGAGAAAAAUCCACUCUUCUUUUUUGAAACCCCUGUAAUCCAUUUGUUGUUACUUGCAGCCAAACACACUCAUGAUUGAUACGACCUAUUGCAGUUCUGUGAUUUGGGUAACGUUGACCCCAUGUCAUAGAUGAAGACAGCAAGGCUCGGAAAAAAGAAGUUGACAUAUAGUGGUAGAGCUUAGAUUCCAACUCAAGUUCCCUGAUUGUAAGCCCUUGGCAUUCUCCAGUGACCUAUAGCCUAACCAUUCUUAUUAUUCCUUCCUACCAAAAUAUGUAUUAUUCUGUUUUCCCUUAUAUUAAGGAAGAAGGACUUGAGAAGUCCCAUCUGUCCUGAGCUUUACUUGUACCUCUGUUGUCAGCCAGCUGACUUUCAUUUCCUAAUCAAGUAGUUAAUUCUACCCACAUUUACCUGUAUAUAUAAAUAAAACCUUUGGACUUUGAUAUACCCUUUUUGAU